UCCGUAGUGAACCUGCGGAAGGAUCAUUACCGAGUGUAGGGUUCCUAGCGAGCCCAACCUCCCACCCGUGUUUACUGUACCUUAGUUGCUUCGGCGGGCCCGCCAUUCAUGGCCGCCGGGGGCUCUCAGCCCCGGGCCCGCGCCCGCCGGAGACACCACGAACUCUGUCUGAUCUAGUGAAGUCUGAGUUGAUUGUAUCGCAAUCAGUUAAAACUUUCAACAAUGGAUCUCUUGGUUCCGGCAUCGAUGAAGAACGCAGCGAAAUGCGAUAACUAGUGUGAAUUGCAGAAUUCCGUGAAUCAUCGAGUCUUUGAACGCACAUUGCGCCCCCUGGUAUUCCGGGGGGCAUGCCUGUCCGAGCGUCAUUGCUGCCCAUCAAGCACGGCUUGUGUGUUGGGUCGUCGUCCCCUCUCCGGGGGGGACGGGCCCCAAAGGCAGCGGCGGCACCGCGUCCGAUCCUCGAGCGUAUGGGGCUUUGUCACCCGCUCUGUAGGCCCGGCCGGCGCUUGCCGAACGCAAAUCAAUCUUUUUCCAGGUUGACCUCGGAUCAGGUAGGGAUACCCGCUGAACUUAAGCAUAUCAAUAAGCGGAGGA
rnacentral:rRNA from 2 species